GACUGGGGAGCCCGAUGCAUCGGGCUGAGAGGACGGAUUUUGAGCUGUUGACCCAUGAACCUGAUUUGGAUAAUGCCAACGUAGGGAGCAU
rnacentral:ncRNA from 1 species